UACGUAGGGUGCAAGCGUUAUUCGGAAUUACUGGGCGUAAAGCGUGCGCAGGCGGUUUUGUAAGUCAGAGGUGAAAUCCCCGGGCUUAACCUGGGAACUGCGUUUGAAACUACAAGGCUAGAGUGUGGCAGAGGGGGGUGGAAUUCCACGUGUAGCAGUGAAAUGCGUAGAGAUGUGGAGGAACACCGAUGGCGAAGGCAGCCCCCUGGGUUAACACUGACGCUCAGGCACGAAAGCGUGGGGAGCAAACAGG
rnacentral:rRNA from 1 species